UCUUAAACUGGUGUACAGGGGGGCGGAGACUCAGAUGGAGCUUCGCCGAUCUAACCCCUAGACGUAGAGCUGGGGCGCUCCGGCUUGAAAAUGGAAAUUGUACUUCAAUAAAGACUUUUGCACAUUACUGCCGGCUAGCGUUGGUCCUCUGUGAGCUGGGACCUGGAGCCAGCUCUGACAGGUGUGAAAAGCCAGUCGUCGAAAUACUCGGCUGGCAUGGGCCUGUGUGGGAAAAGUGCAUGGAACUCGUCCUUGAGCCAAGAUUCCUCCAGAGCAUAAUCUGGCACCCAACUGUUGGCGCUAGCCGGGGUACCUUCCUUGGCGAGGAGGUAUUCCACUCCCUCCUCCCCCCAUCUCGAGUCUAAAAUCUCUGUGACUUCGUUGACGGGUUCCCGCCUUGGCGACCCCCCCCUUGUGGGCGUUUCCCUGAACGGGUCUGGUGCCGUUCCUGGCUCCUGAAAUCUAUGAGGUGCUUUGUAGGGCGUGAGCACUGAUCUAUGGAAAACUGGGUGCAUUCU
rnacentral:lncRNA from 1 species